rnacentral:rRNA from 1 species
AUUGAACGCUGGCGGCAAGCCUAACACAUGCAAGUCGAACGAGUGGCGGACGGGUGAGUAAUGUCUGGGAAACUGCCUGAUGGAGGGGGAUAACUACUGGAAACGGUAGCUAAUACCGCAUACCAUCGGAUGUGCCCAGAUGGGAUUAGCUAGUAGGUGGGGUAAAGGCACACCUAGGCGACGAUCCCUAGCUGGUCUGAGAGGAUGACCAGCCACACUGGAACUGAAACACGUUCCAGACUCCUACGGUAGGCAGCAGUAGGGAAUAGUGCACAAUGGGCGCAAGCCUGACGCAGCCAUGCCGCGUGUAUGAAGAAGGCCUUGGUGUUGUAAAGUACUUUCAGCGGGGAGGCGUUACCCGCAGAAGAAGCACCGGCUAACUCCGUGCCAGCAGCCGCGGUAAUUC